AAGUCGUAACAAGGUUACCGUAGGUGAACCUGCGGUAGGAUCAUUGACACUUUCAGAAAUUUGAAAAAAUAUGUGAAUAUUUAAAGUAAAGUUUUUAUUUUUCAAAAAAAAAGAAAUGUAAAAAAAAUAUUUCUAAAAGAAAAAUAGAAAAAACAUUUUCAACAAUGGAUCUCUUGGCUCUC
rnacentral:misc_RNA from 1 species